AGAGUUUGAUCAUGGCUCAGGACGAACGCUGGCGGUGUGCUUAAGACAUGCAAGUCGAGCGGUCCCGCAAGGGACAGCGGCGGACGGGUGAGUAACACGUGGAUAACCUGCCCGACUCCCCGGGAUAACAGGCCGAAAGGCCUGCUAAUACCGGGUAAGCUCACAUCACCGCAUGGUGGUGGGAGAAAAGGUCCCGCAAGGGACUGGGGUUGGAGGGGUCCGCGGUCCAUUAGCUAGUUGGGGGGGUAACGGCCCACCAAGGCGACGAUGGAUAGCCGGCCUGAGAGGGCGACCGGCCACACUGGGACUGAGACACGGCCCAGACUCCUACGGGGGCAGCAGUCGGGAAUUUUGGGCAAUGGCCGAAAGGGCUGACCCAGCAACACCGCGUGAGUGAAGAAGGCCUUCGGGUUGUAAAGCUCUGUUGCCCGUGAAGAACGGUGCUUUCAGGAAAUGGGAAGCACUUGACGGUAGCGGGAGAGGAAGCUCCGGCUAACUACGUGCCAGCAGCCGCGGUAAUACGUAGGGAGCGAGCGUUGUCCGGAUUUAUUGGGCGUAAGGGGCGUGUAGGCGGCUUUUUAAGUCUGAAGUGAAAACUCGGGGCUCAACCCCGAGCCGGCUUCGGAUACUGGAGAGCUUGAGUGCUCUAGAGGGCAGUGGAAUUCCCGGUGUAGCAGUGAAAUGCGUAGAGAUCGGGAGGAACACCAGUGGCGAAGGCGACUGCCUGGGGAGUAACUGACGCUGAGGCGCGAAAGCUGGGGGAGCAAACGGGAUUAGAUACCCCGGUAGUCCCAGCCGUAAACGAUGAGUGCUAGGUGUAGCGGGUAUCGACCCCCGCUGUGCCGGAGUUAACGCAAUAAGCACUCCGCCUGGGGAGUACGGCCGCAAGGUUGAAACUCAAAUGAAUUGACGG
rnacentral:rRNA from 1 species